rnacentral:snRNA from 1 species
GCAUGUUGCGAUCUGGCUGCAACAAUCUGUCACCCCAUUGACUGUGCAUCCCUUCAGAAGGGAUGCACAGGGAGCAGUGAGGGAGCUGAUCCGGCUGCUCUGGCUGCUUAAGUGAAUCUCCCUUCAUCCCUCACUGCUCCGUGAGUGUCCCUCCUGACGCUGCACACUCGGUCAAAGGGAAGGACCAUUUCCAAUGAGGAGGACUUGCCUUUGGUCAAGGGUAAACAAGGUUGCCCUCCCCUGCUAGAACCUCCAAAGAAGCUCUCAAGAAAAUACGGGACCACAAGAUAAGCCUCCUCUCCAUUUUUUUGUCAAUGGAUAGCAGCAAAU